AGCGAACGCUGGCGGCGUGCCUAACACAUGCAAGUCGAACGUGAAAGGGGGCAACCCCUAGUAAAGUGGCGUACGGGUGAGUAACACGUAGGUAAUCUACCCCAAAAUUUGGAAUAACCUGCCGAAAGGCGGGCUAAUACUGGAUAGAGCGAUGGAAUCCGUAAUUGGGUUUUUCGGGAAAGGGAGCCUGUAAGGGCCCUCGUUUUGGGAUGAGCCUGCGUCUCAUUAGCUAGUUGGUGGGGUAACGGCCUACCAAGGCUUUGAUGGGUAGCUGGUCUGAGAGGAUGAUCAGCCACACUGGAACUGAAACACGGUCCAGACUCCUACGGGAGGCAG
rnacentral:rRNA from 1 species